CCUUUGCAAGGCGCCCAUCUUUGCAGUAUCUGUAUCUUGGAUUAUCCAGGACCAGGAGCUACAGAUACUAACAGCAGGCCUUGUUCUAUGCUCUACACCAGUGGUUCUUAACCUGGGGUGCACGCACCCCCUUGGAGUGCGAGAUGCUCUUUCUGGGGGUGCGAGACAUGCCAGCUUUUUUUAGAAGGUAAAUCAUCGAAAACACAAAUUAAGCACAGGCACUGUGUCAGAGACAAGGACAGAAAGUUCCAACCAGGACCAUGCAAUGUUGAGAAGGAACUGGAGAUGCGGUCAACCCGCUCCACCCUUUAUGACCUCAGACAGAAGAACGAGGCAAGCCAAGGCACACUGUGCGGACUAACGGAUACUACUUCCAAAUUAUCCAGCUCCAGACGCACAGUGCUCAUGCGUAACCCUCAGAGGAAUUCAAUAGGGACCAUCACAACUAGAUAAUACUCCAGCAGUGGUCGCACCACUGCUAAAUACAGAGGUCAUUAACAUGUUAAAUAGCGCAGGGACAAGAACCAAUCCCUGUGGUGGCACUGGAAACUGACUCGGUUGAUGAGUUCCCACUGACAGUGACAUUUGAGAUCUAUCAGUUAGCCAGUUUUUAAUCUAUUUUAUGUGUGCCAUCAUGUUAAUUUUAUAUCAUUCUAGAUUUUUUAUUAAAAAUGUCAUGUGGCACCAAGUCAAAAACCUUA